CCUUCUUAGGAAAAUGACUGUGUCUGGAGUGGAGGACAGAGCCCUGAGCAAAGGUUGUGGGUUCCACAAGGGCUCUCAGGAGGGAUGAGGAGCAUGGAACAUUCUAGAAACUGAGAGAGCCCACCAUAGUUUUAGGGUAGAGACUGCGUGGGAACUGGUGCCCAGUGAGACCACUGAUGCUGGUGUGCUCGGGAUCCCGGUGAUAGAGAUGUGGAUGAAACAUUCCGUGCAUGUUCAACAGAAGUGCCUGUUUUCCAAGCUGAUAGAGUAUAUUUGCAUAGAAGAGGCAUUAAAAAGAGUUCCAAAUGCAGAUUCAGAAUAAAAGUUGGGGGAGAAGUACAGAGAAGUCCUAAGCGAGUCUGAAGGUUUGUUCAGAUGUGGAAAGGACCACUGCAGGAUAUCAAGAUGAGUCUUUGUCUGGGGAUUCUGGCAGGCUAAACUAUGUCAGAAAUUGGAAGGAAGCCAAUUUCCUGUCAGAACCAGGAAAACCAGUUCAUCCCAGGAGCCCAGCCUGUAACAGAGGUAUCUGUACCCACUCUGGUGGUCUGUGUCUGUUUGUCUCAGUUCAAGGAACUGGGUAAACUGCAUUGCUGCACUUUACCCUAAAUAGGGCCAGGGUCAGCCGUGAGUCACUGCUGAGUGAAUCUUCAUUAUAAUCCUAAGUUAUAACCACACUGGUGAUGAUAAAGACUUCCUUUGUGCACUUAAAAACAUCAGUUUGCCUUUAGUGAUAAAAAUGAUUGAUGGUUAUAACCCCCAAAGAGAAACUUUUGGAAAUCGUGCUGGUUAUUUUCAAAAGGUAACAACUGGAUUUUUUAAAAAGUGCCAGAAAAUUUGUUGGUGGAAGAAUUUUCUUGACUUUCUUUUGUUAAUCAAAAUGAUUCAUGAAGAGUUAUGGGAAAGUAAGGAUACUAAGACAAUAAAUUGAAAGUGAAAUGAAAAAUUUGUUCAGCUGAGAGAGUGACUUGUUAAAAUCUAUAGG